rnacentral:rRNA from 1 species
GGACUACUGGGGUAUCUAAUCCUGUUUGCUCCCCACGCUUUCGUGCAUGAGCGUCAGUCUUAUCCCAGGGGGCUGCCUUCGCCAUCGGUAUUCCUCCACAUCUCUACGCAUUUCACUGCUACACGUGGAAUUCUACCCCCCUCUGACAGACUCGAGCUUGCUAGUUUCAAACGCAAUUCCCAGGUUAAGCCCGGGGCUUUCACAUCUGACUUAACAAACCGCCUGCGCACGCUUUACGCCCAGUAAUUCCGAUUAACGCUCGCACCCUACGUAUUACCGCGGCUGCUGGCAC